GACGAACGCUGGCGGCGUGCCUAAUACAUGCAAGUUGAGCGCUGAAGGUUGGUACUUGUACCAACUGGAUGAGCAGCGAACGGGUGAGUAACGCGUGGGGAAUCUGCCUUUGAGCGGGGGACAACAUUUGGAAACGAAUGCUAAUACCGCAUAAAAACUUUAAACACAAGUUUUAAGUUUGAAAGAUGCAAUUGCAUCACUCAAAGAUGAUCCCGCGUUGUAUUAGCUAGUUGGUGAGGUAAAGGCUCACCAAGGCGAUGAUACAUAGCCGACCUGAGAGGGUGAUCGGCCAUAUUGGGACUGAGACACGGCCCAAACUCCUACGGGAGGCAGCAGUAGGGAAUCUUCGGCAAUGGACGAAAGUCUGACCGAGCAACGCCGCGUGAGUGAAGAAGGUUUUCGGAUCGUAAAACUCUGUUGGUAGAGAAGAACGUUGGUGAGAGUGGAAAGCUCAUCAAGUGACGGUAACUACCCAGAAAGGGACGGCUAACUACG
rnacentral:rRNA from 1 species